CAAAAUACUCCACAAUAUACUCGGUGCAUGCGCAGACCACUGAAAAGUCACAGUGAAAGUUGGAAGGCCUUUCACUAUGCUUUGGGAAAGUAAACCAUUUUUCUAAAACACUUUUGUCUGUGCAUACACCAUUCAAAGAGAAAACAUUUAUUUGUCAUAACAUUCAUCAUCUCCAUUUCAAACAUUCAAACCCGUCACGCUCUCUCUCUCGUCUCCUUCCAUCUUCUUCAACACACUCUAGCCAUUUUCAUCCAUGAUGACUGUGAGCUGCUCGGUGUGGUGUCGAAAUUUGUGGUGUUGUUCGUGCGGUUUCGUCGGCGAAGCUGUGGGUAGCGGCCGUUUUGUCAGUUCGUGCAAUUUCUUCUGGUUGAGAAGGCACAAGAUGGAAAUGUACAUUGUGUUGGUUGUAAUACUCCUGACAUAAAUUUAAUUCUGACUGGUUCUUCUGACAAUUUAGUUCGCAUGUUUGAUCGUCGGAAGCUAAGUAGUCACGGGGUUGGACUUUCUAUUUAUAAAUUUGAAGGCCAUGAUGCACCAAUCCUCUGUGUACAGCAUUUCUCUGUGCAGGUUCUAACAAAAUGGUGGAUAAUUCUAGAGUGGCACAUGAUGCUAUAUCUGAAUAUUGCGAGUAAUCUCACAUUGGUAAGGACGAGAACAUUGUUUUGAUCUAAUCAAGCAGGAUGUGCAUCUUUGCAUGGAGCGUAGUUGUGUGCCUAACAUGUUGUUUGGCUCAAUUUGAUCAAUUAUGUUUUGCAUCAUGGAAAACUCACAUAUGUCCGAGUAUAUUAUGUAUUGUUGUGUGUUGGUCUAUUCUUAUGUGUAUAGGUUCUAGAGAUCUACUUAUAGCUUUAUAGAAUCAGACAAUAAUUUAGAGAUUUUAUGAUAUCUAUUUUUUUUAUAGUUUAGAGAUCUAUUUAUAAACUUAUUUGAUGAGUGUGAGGUAGAGAGGCGGUAAAAAUAUGCGUGUUAGAGAAAGUUAACGCUGGCUUGGAUUAGGAGUGUCCCUAUUGAGGGUGAGUUAAGGCUGGUAGAAAUAGUGGUAGGAAUAGGUGUAUCAAGGAAAGGUGACUGGUUGUAUUGGGGGAGAGUGUUGAGGGUGAUGUAAGGACAGUGGAACUAACUGUGUUAAAAGAGGCACAAUUGGCAACAUUUAUAUGUAUAUUUUGUUAUAGAAUACAUAGUUAUAAAAUACAUCAUGUAUCCUUAGUUAUAAAAUAUUGACAUUUUUAUGUAUAUUAAAUAAUAUUUAUGAUUAAUGACAUUUUUAUAUUUAAAAACAAAUUAAAUGUAUUAACAACAAAUAUAUGUCACAAAAUAAUAUACAUUUAAA